rnacentral:misc_RNA from 1 species
GCAAACUUGGUCAUUUAGAGGAAGUAAAAGUCGUAACAAGGUUUCCGUAGGUGAACCUGCGGAAGGAUCAUUAUCAGGGUUCUUUUUUUUAAAAAAAGACCUUAAACCCAUCCAUCCACCGUGUGCACCAAACGAAAUCAAAAUUCCAAAUCUCGCUUCUCGUGUCAUCUGUCUCCGGACAGAUGGUGAUGAGGAGCGGGAGCUGGAGUUUUCUUUUCAUUUUAUAAUUUCUGCCUGAACAUUGUCUGACGAUUUGUUAAAUAAUUCAAUACAACUUUCAACAACGGAUCUCUUGGCUCUCGCAUCGAUGAAGAACGCAGC